rnacentral:snRNA from 1 species
GGAUGUGAAGCCAUCUGUCUGUCACAUCUGUCACCCCAUUGAUUGACAAAGUUGAUUUGACUAUCUGGCUGGCUAGGUGGGUGUCCCUUUCCUCACUGCUCCAUGUGCAUCCCUGCUGAAACUGCAUGCUUGGUUGAAGAAGACAAUGUUCCCCAGUAACAGAGGACAGACAAGGGUAUACAAGGAGUUGUGCUCUCCUGUGAAAACCUCCAAACAAGCUCUCAAACAAAUGACACAAUUCAAACUUGGCAUUCCAGAAAGUUGUACAUUUUUUUCU